rnacentral:misc_RNA from 1 species
AACGGUCUAUACCUGCGGUACCUGCGGAGGGAUCAUUACCAAGUUAUCAACUCCCAAACCCCUGUGAACAUACCCGAACGUUGCCUCGGCGGGACCGCCCCGGCGCCCCUAGCGGCCCGGAACCAGGCGCCCGCCGGAGGACCCAAACUCUUGCUUUAAACAGUGGCAUACUCUCUGAGUCUCACAAACAAAAAAUAAAUCAAAACUUUUAACAACGGAUCUCUAGAUCGGAAGAGCACA